UAUACUGUGAUUCAGAAAAUAAUUGAACUGAACUUACCGAUCUUUUCUUACUUUAUUCUAAGUUCUUUAUCUCUGUGCUUCUACAUUUUAUUUGGUAGGUAUAAUUGAAAUCCUCAAAGGAAUGCAAGAAUUGGGAGUACAUCCUGAUCAGGAAACAUAUACAGAUUAUGUGAUUCCAUGCUUUGAUAGUGUAAACUCAGCACGUGCCAUUUUGCAGGAAAAUGGAUGUCUGUCUGAUAGUGAUAUGUUUUCUCAAGCUGGAUUGAGAAGUGAAGCAGCAAAUGGGAACUUAGACUUUGUAUUAUCAUUUUUGAAAUCAAAUACAUUGCCUAUCUCGCUGCAGUCUAUAAGAAGUAGCCUACUGCUAGGCUUCAGGAGGUCUAUGAAUAUAAAUCUUUGGAGCGAGAUAACAGAAUUGUUGUACAAGGAUGGACGUUAUUGCCAGGAGCCUCGAGGACCAACGGAAGCUGUUGGCUAUUUUCUUUAUAACUUGAUUGACAGCAUGAGUGACUCAGAGGUACAGGCCAAGGAGGAGCAUUUGAGACAAUACUUCCAUC
rnacentral:sRNA from 1 species